rnacentral:rRNA from 1 species
GAUGAACGCUGGCGGCGUGCCUAAUACAUGCCAGUCGAGCGAACGGACGAGAAGCUUGCUUCUCUGAUGUUAGCGGCGGACGGGUGAGUAACACGUGGAUAACCUACCUAUAAGACUGGGAUGACUUCGGGAAACCGGAGCUAAUACCGGAUAAUAUUUUGAACCGCAUGGUUCAAAAGUGAAAGACGGUCUUGCUGUCACUUAUAGAUGGAUCCGCGCUGCAUUAGCUAGUUGGUAAGGUAACGGCUUACCAAGGCAACGAUGCAUAGCCGACCUGAGAGGGUGAUCGGCCACACUGGAACUGAGACACGGUCCAGACUCCUACGGGAGGCAGCAGUAGGGAAUCUUCCGCAAUGGGCGAAAGCCUGACGGAGCAACGCCGCGUGAGUGAUGAAGGUCUUCGGAUCGUAAAACUCUGUUAUUAGGGAAGAACAUAUGUGUAAGUAACUGUGCACAUCUUGACGGUACCUAAUCAGAAAGCCACGGCUAACUACGUG